GAUGAACGCUAGCGGCAGGCCUAAUACAUGCAAGUCGGACGGGAUCCAUUGAUAGCUUGCUAUCAAUGGUGAGAGUGGCGCACGGGUGCGUAACGCGUGAGCAACCUGCCUCCAUCAGGGGGAUAGCCUCUCGAAAGAGAGAUUAACACCGCAUAAUAUCAACAGUUCGCAUGUUCAGUUGAUUAAAUAUUUAUAGGAUGGAGAUGGGCUCGCGUGACAUUAGCUAGUUGGUAGGGUAACGGCUUACCAAGGCGACGAUGUCUAGGGGCUCUGAGAGGAGCAUCCCCGACACUGGUACUGGGACAAGGACCAGACUCCUACGGGAGGAAGCAGUAAGGAAUAUUGGGCAAGGGGCGGAAGCCUGAACCAGCCAUGCCGCGUGCAGGAUGACUGCCCUAUGGGUUGUAAACUGCUUUUGUCCAGGAAUAAACCUAAAUACGAGUAUUUAGCUGAAUGUACUGGAAGAAUAAGGAUCGGCUAACUCCGUG
rnacentral:rRNA from 1 species